rnacentral:misc_RNA from 1 species
GAUGAAGAACGUAGCGAAAUGCGAUACUUGGUGUGAAUUGCAGAAUCCCGUGAACCAUCGAGUCUUUGAACGCAAGUUGCGCCCGAAGCCACUAGGCCGCGGGCACGCCUGCCUGGGCGUCACACGCCGUUGCCCCCCCAUCUACUCCUUCGGGAUUGCGGGGGGGCGGAUGAUGGCCUCCCGUGCGCCUAGCCGCGCGGUUGGCAUAAAUACCAAGUCCUCGGCGACGCACGCCACGACAAUCGGUGGUUGCGAAACCUCGGUUGCCCGUCGUGUGCGUUCGUCGCGCAUCGAGGGCUCGAAAAAAUGCUCGGCUCCGGCUGGGCUUUCAACGCGACCCCAGGUCAGGCGGGGUUACCCGCUGAAUUUAAGCAUAUCAAUAAGCGGAGGA